rnacentral:rRNA from 1 species
AUUGAACGCUGGCGGCAUGCCUUACACAUGCAAGUCGAACGGCAGCACGGGAGCAAUCCUGGUGGCGAGUGGCGAACGGGUGAGUAAUGUAUCGGAACGUGCCCAGUCGUGGGGGAUAACGUAGCGAAAGCUACGCUAAUACCGCAUACGAUCUGUGGAUGAAAGCGGGGGACCGUAAGGCCUCGCGCGAUUGGAGCGGCCGAUAUCAGAUUAGGUAGUUGGUGGGGUAAAGGCCUACCAAGCCGACGAUCUGUAGCUGGUCUGAGAGGACGACCAGCCACACUGGGACUGAGACACGGCCCAGACUCCUACGGGAGGCAGCAGUGGGGAAUUUUGGACAAUGGGCGCAAGCCUGAUCCAGCAAUGCCGCGUGCAGGAUGAAGGCCUUCGGGUUGUAAACUGCUUUUGUACGGAGCGAAACGGCUUCCACUAAUACUGGGGGCUAAUGACGGUGCCGUAAGAAUAAGCACCGGCUAACUACGUGCCAGCCGCCGCCGUAAGAC